rnacentral:rRNA from 1 species
UAACACGUACGUACAAGACUGUGAACAGCUUAUUAUAAAAGUUAUAAUUUAUUUGAGCGUGGAAACUUAAAACAGUUUCAGACUUCUAUAUGGAUAACUGUAGUAAAACUAGAGAUAAUACAUGCAAAUAGAGGAGACUAAAGUAAUUUUGGAAUCCUUGCAUUAACUGGAUUAUCAAAGGACGUCAAACUUUUGAUGAACCACAGUUCACUAAAUAGCAGAGUGAGUAAUCACCACUUCAUUCAAAUUUCUUAUCUAUCAACUUUCGAUGGUAAUAUAGAGGAUUACCAUGGUUUUAACGGGUGACAGAGGAUAAGGGUUUUAUUCUGGAGAGGGGGCCUAGAGAAAUAGCCACCACUUCCAAGGAAGGCAGCAGGCGCGCAAAUUACCCAAUAACAAUACGUUGAGGUAGUAACAAAAAAUAACGACGACACUUAAUAGGGAAACCUAUUAGUCGAUUGUCAUGAAUACAAUGCAAAUAAAUUAAUUAGAAUCAACUGGAGGGCAAGUCUGGUGCCAGCAGCCGCGGUAAUUCCAGCUCCAGUAGCGUAUAUUUAAGUUGUUGUAAUUAAAAAGCUCGUAGUUGAAAUAUGACUUUGUUUGUUGUUUAAGGUGAAAUAAAUUCAUUUUAAAUAAUUAACUAGUCAUUAAGAGAACAAUUAAACACUUCUUAUAAUUGAAAGAUUAUAGGUUGAAACGUUUUUGUUCAUAUUACCAUAAGUAAAAUAGAGUGUUUAAAGCAAAACGUUUGUUCAUUGAAUAAUAGAGUAUGGGAUAAUAGAAGACGAAGGAGAUAUGAAGAUGUUCUUCAAUCUUAAUGAAAAUUUAAGGUUGGUCAUAUUUCUUUAAUGAUUAAUAGGGACUAUUGGGGUAAUUAAUAUUUCUACACGAGCGGUGAAAUGCGUAGACUGUAGAAAGAUUAACUAAUGCGAAAGCAUUUUACAAAGGUGUUUUCGUUAAUCAAGAACGAAAGUUAAGGGAUCGAAGAUGAUCAGAUACCGUCGUAGUCUUAACCAUAAACGAUGUCGACAAAGGAUAGGAAUGAAAGUAUUAAUAUACUUUCUUCUUAUAAAGGUACUAAAAGAAGUUAUUAUAGCAAUAUAAUAAUUUUGUUUACUGUCUCUUCCCGAAUUUUGUAAGAAAUUAUAAGUUAUCGGACUUUGGGGGGAGUAUGGUCGCAAGGCUGAAACUUAAAGGAAUUGACGGAAGGGCACCACCAGGUGUGGAACUUGCGGUUUAAUUUGACUCAACACGGGGAAACUCACCAGGUCAGGACAUGGCAAGGAUUGACAGAUUAAAAGAUCUUUCAUGAUUCUAUGGGUGGUGGUGCAUGGCCGAUCUUAGUUCGUGGUAUGAAUUGUCGGCUUAAUUGCGUUAACGAACGAGACCUUUUGAGAUAAAUAGUGAUAGUAAGUUGGC